UACGUAGGGUGCAAGCGUUAAUCGGAAUUACUGGGCGUAAAGCGUGCGCAGGCGGUUAUGUAAGACAGUUGUGAAAUCCCCGGGCUCAACCCUGGGAACUGCAUCUGUGACUGCAUAGCUAGAGUACGGUAGAGGGGGAUGGAAUUCCGCGUGUAGCAGUGAAAUGCGUAGAUAUGCGGAGGAACACCGAUGGCGAAGGCAAUCCCCUGGACCUGUACUGACGCUCAUGCACGAAAGCGUGGG
rnacentral:rRNA from 1 species